UACGAAGGGGGCUAGCGUUGCUCGGAAUCACUGGGCGUAAAGCGCACGUAGGCGGACUCUUAAGUCGGUGGUGAAAUCCUGGAGCUCAACUCCGGAACUGCCUUUGAUACUGGGGAUCUCGAGUCCGGGAGAGGUGAGUGGAACUGCGAGUGUAGAGGUGAAAUUCGUAGAUAUUCGCAAGAACACCAGUGGCGAAGGCGGCUCACUGGCCCGGAACUGACGCUGAGGUGCGAAAGCGUGGGGAGCAAACAGG
rnacentral:rRNA from 1 species